UGAAUGUUGGCACCCAGCCCCAGAAAUGCUGUGAACAUUUGUUGUGCCAGUUGGACUAUCUUGUGUAAAACAUCCGUACCUAUAACGACUUUGUGGAUUACCUGAGUGACCCCUCCAAGCGGAAUGACAUUGAGAGGGAGCUGGCUGAGGCAAAGCACCCUGGUGGGUUCGUGGAGCGUCUGUACGCUCUCCUGUACUCCUUCCUGCCGACAUGGAGCCAGAGGCUGACAGAUACCUGCUGCUGCUCAAUGAUUCUUGUGACACUUUGCCACCCAACAGGGAUCUAGACACCAAUGCACUACAUUACUUUGCACUGAAUUUUAAAUUUUUAAAUAAAUUGAGUUGUAGUUCGGGAAACAAAUGUUUUUGAACUACAUCUUUUCUUCUAUAUGAC